rfam:Alligator sinensis unplaced genomic scaffold scaffold170_1, whole genome shotgun sequence
CUUGAGGCUCUACUGAGAGCCAUACAAUUUAAACUUUCUUACUGUAU